rnacentral:rRNA from 1 species
AAUCAACGCUGGCGGCGUGCCUCAGACAUGCAAGUCGAACGAUUAAGACUCUCUUCGGAGAGUGUAUAAAGUGGCGCACGGGUGAGUAACACGUAGGUAAUGUACCGAAGGGUGGGGAAUAACUUAGGGAAACUUAAGCUAAUACCGCAUAAUGCAGCGGCUCGACAUCGAGACAGUUGUUAAAGGAGCAAUCCGCCUUUUGAGCAGCCUGCGGCAGAUUAGCUAGUUGGUAAGGUAAUGGCUUACCAAGGCUACGAUCUGUAACCGACCUGAGAGGGUGGUCGGUCACACUGACACUGAAUAACGGGUCAGACUCCUACGGAGGCAGCAGUCGGGAAUUUUGGGCAAUGGGCGAAAGCCUGACCCAGCAACGCCGCGUGAAGGAUGAAGUAUUUCGGUAUGUAAACUUCGUAAGAAUAGGAAGAAUAAAUGACGGUACUAUUUGUAAGGUCCGGCUAACUACGUGCCAGCAGCCGCGGUAAU